rnacentral:tmRNA from 1 species
GGGGACGUUACGGAUUCGACAGGGAUAGUUUGAGCUUAGGUUGCGAGUCGAGGGGGUCGUCCUCGUAAAAACGCCAAAGCCAAUAAUAACUGGCAAAACUAACAAUAACCUCGCUUUUGCAGCGUAAGCUAGCAUAGCGGAUCCUCCCUCCAUCGCCCAUGUGGUAGGGUCAGGGUCUCAACUUUAGUGGGCUACGCCGGUUGUCCUCCGCCUGGGGACGAUGGAAGAGACCAAUCAGGCUAGCACUUCGGACGCCCGUCGAUAGGCAGAUGAAGGUGCGAAAUACGAAUAUAUCGACUACACUCGUAGAUGCUUAAGUGGCAAUGUUUCUGGACGUGGGUUCGAUUCCCACCGUCUCCACCA